AGUCGGGGAUCCAGAAGCCCAGCAAGGACGCCACACCAAUCUUUGACGCGCUUGCCUUGCAUCUAAUCUGGUCAAGCUGGGUCCGAAAUUCGAAAGCAGCAUGUCGGGUAGCGACGCCAGCGUCUACCUGUCUGCCGUGCGCUGGGACGACACCGGCGUCCCGCUGCAAGAGUUCCUGCAGAAAUUUCCAGAGCCGCAGGUCGCGCGCGUGGUGCGAGGACAGCACCGCCACGUUGGCGUCCCGUCGCUCUCCUCGCCCGGCCUGAGCAGCGUGGUGUUUCUGUCCCCGCUCGGAACACGGCUGCGCAUCAGCGCCCAGUGCGUCAAGUUCAAAGAGAACCGGCAGCGGGUCGUGGCCCUCGGACCGCGGCUGGCCAUCCCCGAGGGUUACCGCGGUUGGUUCGAGAUCCUCUCGGAGGACGGACGUGCCUCUCGGUGCUUCGAGAGCGUCGCCGAGCUGAUGCGCCGCUCGCCGGACACCUGCCUGGUGCGCGAACCAGUCAAGGCCCACUUGGCGCACCAGGACAACCCCGAGCAGGUGACGGACAAGACGAGGACGCUCCAGGUGGGCGAGACGCUCGUCGUCGUCAAGGAGCACACGUCUCCAAUGGUGCGCGCGUCACUGGCCAGGCUGCGGUCUUCGGCGCCGCACGGCCGGUUUCUGCGCUGCCUGACAUCCGCCGGCGAGACGGUGUACCUGUCGGCCGAGUCACGGGGCAAGUUCUCGCCGAUCGCCAAGGAAGGCAACAUCUCGGGUGUCCACUCGGUCAAGACGCUGCUCUGCAAGCGGUUUCCCCUCAUGGUCCGGCUCGUGCACGGCAGGCCGGCGCCCUCGGGCUUGAAGACCUCCGAACUCCGGCUGUACGGCGUAGAGCGCGAGGAGUGCGUACUGGCCUUGCCCUUGGUGAAGGACGCGCCUCCGCUGUCGCUCCCGGAGUCGGCGCCGCUGCGACUGCAGGCGCCCAAGAACGCCGAUGCUCUAGUGCAGAUGCCGGAGUACACGAGGCUCACGGAAAAGUCGAAGAGGCUGCAGGACCGAAUGGACGCCAUCGAAGUUCUAGAAACGACACGAAGCAGCAGCGACUUCUUCUCGUCCAAGACGCCGCCGCAGCGGAGUCUCUCCGAACCGAACGGCAAGCCGACUCCUCCGCAAAGUCCCCCCGCUACCACCAUCGUACCAUCGACUAACGGCGUAGAUAGGGUCCAGUCAAUGCCGGCACCCGACGACUACCGGUACGAGGAGAUCGACCAGAUAUACGACUACGUGCGCGGCUUCGCCCCACUUCCGGAGAAGAUCAAGACCGAGCUGAUACAAGGGCGUCAGCGACGGCAACAGCGAAUAUGAGAAGUCGUCACCAUCGUCGCCAUCACCCACAGGUGCCCCACGGCGUCGGUCACGUCCCGGGAAAAGCCGCUGCCUCCUCCCAUAGAAACGAUCCCGGCAAGGCGGUUCUCUAUGGCCACCGAUCCGGGCCCCAACUCUCCACCCACGACCGCGCCAGUGAUUAAGUCACCUCCAACCGCACGAGCCAAGGACACUGACUCGCACGUCUACGAGGCUGUCAUAAGGCGUUCCUCGGACGAGCACAAGUCCAAAGGAGGCAGCGUCGCCCCGACGUGUCGGUCGGGCCUUCCCAGGUCCUCGGGUGUACCUAGGCCCCCUAACAACAAGUUGUUCGUCAAGAGCUCGCACCAGGUACGAAACGGAAGUGCCAAGCCUCGCAUGUUCCGCAAUGCCGGUCGUAUCCCUGUCGCUGCAGCAUCCAUCAAGGACGCCUCUAUGCACCACCCCCACGUGCCCCACCAUCAUCAUCACCCUCCAUGCCCGCAGCACCACCACUGCCCACCCAACGGCGUUAUUGUGGGAAGCGUAAACACGUCAGUGGCCCCACCACCUAACGCAAUGUUCCAGAAGGCUUCUUCGAGGAACCCGAGGACAUGCCGCGGUACCAAGCCCGUUAACGGCACGAUCACGACCUCGCCACUGUUCAACAUCCGUUAUAAGUCGCUCACUAACUUGGCCGUCGACUUCAACGACACCCUGGACUCGAGCAACUCCGGAGGUGGCGCGUCUUCCGGUGGCUCCAAGGGUUCUGGUUCCAAAGGCUCCGGAUCUAAGGGGUCAAAAAACGACCGCACAGUAGGGUCUGUGCUUCCCCACAAGCUUUCCCGGCCAAAGUCUCUGAGCAACCUCUUCUGGGACGUAGAAGCGAACAACAGGUACAACUUGCUCCUGCACAACGAGCUCAAGGCGAACCAGUUCAUCUACGCAGACUUGCCUGCAAAGAUAGCGGCAGCCGCCGAACGCUCGGGAAAGAAGGUCGGCACUUUGUACCUGUGAAGCACAACACUUCCAUCUUCGGUCGUGUUCUUCGUUGACUACGUCUUGCUUAAUGUUUGGUUUUUUGCCAGCUUUCUCAACAUGUACAUAAGUCUAACUGCCAAUGUUGCUCCGCGUGGGACAAGAAUAGUUUAUUUCUUCAUUACAAGAAAGUCGAAGCGUCGGACAUCUGUAGGGGGGGAACUCUGUCCUUAGCCAUAUUUUUGCACCGAACAUGAUAUAACAAAACCGAGCGGCUACAAAUCUAAUCCUCACAUACUUAAUACUUGGUCCUGCCACAGCAGACAUGUUCAGUGUGAUAAAACCCUUUGCAUUGUCCUGGGUCAGUGGCAAUGCACUUGUAAUGCCUUGUCUUCGCUAAAGUACAGUACGUGAUGUUUCGUCUCAGUAGUUAAUCAGAACGUAAGUAUAACAAUGUAUUAAAAUCAUGGCCAGACAUAUGAUCUAGAAGCCAGGUGAUGCGGAAAAGAAGUAUUCAAGGCUUUUUUUAUUACUUAGGAUUCACCAGCCUGGCAAAAAGUCCUUCAAAGUGCAGCUAAUAUCUCGCUGAACCUAUAUAAUUCAGCUUUUUCUUGUGUGCAGCAACAGCUCACACGUUAUCAUUCUUUUUUUGCUUGAGAGCAUGGUGUUCUGCUGUUAGGAUUAUAGUGAGAUCAAACUAUCUGUUGGGCAAAAUAUGUUCACUUGAGUCUCCGUGUGCUGCUGAUGUCACGCAGUUUCGGAGAACAAUGACAGAACACAGAUGGUGUGUUCCCUUGACGAGGUGUCCCAGGGGCCAGGGCCAACAUCCGGCGCGUAAUUUAGUCAAUAAGAGCAGAUACUACUGCUCCUUCGUUUCUGUGUUUUUGUUGUUAUUCUUAACGGUGCUUGUAACUCGUCGACCACGGCAGUAUGUAUCUUCAAACUGUCCACACCCAGCAAAGAAAAGCUGGAUCUUUGUAAAGGCUAACGUUCUGCGAUGAUAGUCCUUCUGGACGUGUUACGCUGAUGCGGAGUUGCAACGGUAUGUGACAGGUCCUUAAUUCAAUACCUACGUGUCUUCUCGGUGCUCCGCGUUGCUUGCGAUUGAAGAGUGGGACGGUGACAACGGACUCGUGCUCUUUCCUAGACAGGUACUCUCAUAUCCAGCGUCUAGUUUAUGGCAAGAUGAGUAGCCGUUUUGUUCUGUGCUUGCAGUGGUGUUACUCAACUGGAUAUCACGAUUUCGCAUGGAUGUGAUUUGAAGACGAGUCAUCCAAGAGGAAGCAGUGGUGUGGUGUGUGGUGUGUUCGGCGUGAUUCGAACUUGGAUGAGUGACACUAGCAGCGUGCGACAGUGUUUUCAAAGUGGUGACAACAGAAUGUUUCUGAGGAUGGAUGUGUGACGUUUCUUUUGCUUUUAUCCUGUGUCGGCGCGAAUAAUCGAUCGAGUCUGCCAAACCUUUUCAAUAUAGUCAAUCGCGUUCCGCGCAAGCGUAUCGUGUAUUAUAGUAAGAUUAACAAGUGAUCUGAAAAUUUGAAAGUCAUCAACACACGGAAAGAAAAUGCUGGCCAAAAAUCUGUCGCGCUUCACAAACGUUUUAUUUCUGCGUUCAAGCUUGCAGUGAAUGGCGUCACAAGGGGCACAACUUGGUCACUGACUCAACUGGACAUUACAAUUCCGGGAAUUACAUCAGCAAUGACCCGGCUUCAUUAUUUACCCACGUUCCCAGUCGACGUCAUCAGUGAUUCGCAUUUAUCGGUGACUUCACCAGUGUCAACACUUACAGUGGCAACUUCGCUCGCUACAUUAGCAGUGUACUGACGUCAUUUUUUGUAACUGCCACGCUGUGACAUAUUAGGCAGUCGUAACGUAACAUCGGACAACUGGUACAUCCUCCAGUGACGCCAUUGGCAAAGUGACGUUGUUAUGUGACGUCAAGUUAAGGAUAGUUGUGAAGGUUUAGGUUAUGCGCUUGUUAAGUGACAAUAACCGUGAAUUACGUCACAAUACGGUGGCCUGUUCAUGUCCCGGCAGACUGCUAGCUUUCUGUUUGAUAUGCCAGUUCACUGACGUAGCCAAGGCUACCACCUAUCUGAGCAAGAUAUCAAACGUGUAUGCGUAGAGCCACCUACGAUAAAUCUCGCCUCGAAAGACGGAAUGAGCAAUCUAUGCCACUUGCUGCUUCGCGUACCUGUGGCGGAAAACAGCUUAAAAGCGCCUCCAUUAGGCCUGCUCCGUCGCGCUUCCUUCGUCGCGCCUCGCUUCACUAUAUAGAUCUCCAAUAUGUGUAACAAAGUCAGUUAACACAAAUAGGCACUGCCUUCACUUCGUUGCUUGUGAGCCCUACGUGCUACGGCCAAAACUGCCUUCCUUUACUAGACGCAGCUUCAAACGCGUUCAGCACGAGUCCAAGUUCUCGAGUUACUAAGCAGGAUCGUUGAUAAAUGUUCGUAUAACCAAUCGUUUCUUAUCUUGAAGGCAAAAAAAAAGUAGCGACCCAGAAGCUUCAAUUACAAUCUUCUCAAUGUAUUGUGGAAAAAAUGUGUGCAAAUCUUGAGGUAUCGAUAUUUACAGUCUUUUUGUUCGGUGUUAUGUUUUUGUUACGUGCAGAUCGCUUCCUUGUUUGUUGAUUUCUUGUUUUGUAUUUGUGGUCGUCCGUUCCUUUUGCGCCCUCUGACAGUUUGAAAUUCGUCAAUGCUUGCCCGAGUGACACGAUUAACUUUCGAUAGGAAAAGCUUUUUUUUUUUGUUCCCUUAACGUAAGGUACAGUACCUUCCACUGUUAAAGAGAACAUUCGAAUCAUAACCAGUCGUAUUGCUGGCCCAUUAGAUGCAAGUGGAAGUGAUUACAUUGUCAUUCACCACAGCAGCUGCCAGAUACCAGUAGUCUUAAACAAAUCUAAGCCACCGCGUCUUGCAAGAAAUCAAAGUCUGCCAUUGUUCUGCAUGCAUGUGUUCCCGUUAACAGUGGGCCCAUCUGUACAUGAACGAAACCCAGUGGAGGUGACUGGUUAGACAAUAAGAGUCCUGAGAGAAGGCAUGAAAUGUUUCACUCACAGAAAAAAAGAAAAAGCAGAGAGUGUAAGUCUGCUUUGUGAUAUUUUCGUCUUCAAUAACUGAUGGUAUCACGUCGUCAUGGCAACGACACUGGGCCAGCCGGGCUAUCCUUCAUUGGACAGCACGUGUGUCUGGCAAGGCAUUGUCAUAGAAGCUACGAGUGGUCUGCGAUUGGCUGCUUGCACGGUAUAGUUCCCUGAGAGACUGAUGGGGCGACUUGUUCAUUGGUCAGCAGACAGCCAUGUCUGUCGGAUGGCCGAGCCAGCUUUUCUUGAUUAUUCAGAAGCAUUCUGUAUGUAUUGCUCGCAGGCAUGCAUUUGAACAGUGCCAAUUCGUCCAACAGUCUGGUUGGUGCGCUGGCUUCGUUAAGCAAACGCAACAAGACAUCAAAUUUCAUAUGUGCAUUGGGAUAUUUCGGUGCUGAAUUAAUUUCCAGAUUAUCAUUUUUGAUGCUCUUUACGUUAUUCAGCUACGCAAACUUCAAAAUGCUUGUCAUUAAAGAAACUGCGCCGUAACAGAAAAGCAUUUAUCUUCAAAUUUUGGGCUGUAGCUUGACAAUGUUACUCAUUCUCCAAAUGAAAUAUUUUCCUUUUGCAAUAUUUUCUUGUCAUUUUGCGGGAGAUAUUGUUGCACCUACUUGCUUAUCACUGGUCAUAAGAUAGUUGUGUGGGAACUGAUAGAGAGGGCUUCUCAAGAAUAGUCAAUUUCUGAACCAUUUCUGAAAUAAGUAAAAAAAAAAAGCUGGCCCGGUGAUCUUGCUUGCUACCCUGCUCAUGGACUCGUGUCUCAGGCUAUUCAGGGCACCUGGUGACUGCUAUAAACAAAUAUUCGGCGCAUAGGGCAGUUCGCGAGCUGUUGGCCCACAAAAAAAUUUGAGAACAGAAACUCUCACCCUAAUUUAUUGGCUGAAUGUUACGCUCGAUAUGAAUGCUGCGCAGGAAACAACGUGUUGGUCUUGAGAAAUAAAUCACUGGGGGCUUUACUCAAUCACGAACACAUCGACUGCAGCCAUCCCGCGAUUCACGCCACAGCCUCCAGUUCGGCGAACCGCCUAAUGGCAGGCCCCGUGGUCGUGGUCACGUAACGAACCACCGCGUCUCCAGGGCGCUGAUCAAGCUGCCACCAUGCCGAGUGUCGCGUGGCCUCGUCUCUCCCCUUUGUGCCAUGGCGCUUUCCGUUUACGCCACGAAAUCGCGGCAGAUAAGUACAUAACGAAGCCGCAUGUGCAACUGACUCAUUGUGUGUUAUUUUUUUUUCUCUCGUCCUAGUGAAUGUAUAGUAAAGAACAAAAAAAUGAAUAAAUUGUUUAAAACAG